rnacentral:rRNA from 1 species
UACGAAGGGGGCUAGCGUUGCUCGGAUUUAUUGGGCGUAAAGCGCACGUAGGCGGCUCUUUAAGUCGGAGGUGAAAUCCUGGAGCUCAACUCCAGAACUGCCUUCGAUACUGAAGAGCUCGAGUCCGGGAGAGGUGAGUGGAACUGCGAGUGUAGAGGUGAAAUUCGUAGAUAUUCGCAAGAACACCAGUGGCGAAGGCGGCUCACUGGCCCGGUACUGACGCUGAGGUGCGAAAGCGUGGGGAGCAAACAGG